rnacentral:rRNA from 1 species
UGGGGAAUAUUGGACAAUGGGCGCAAGCCUGAUCCAGCCAUGCCGCGUGAGUGAUGAAGGCCUUAGGGUUGUAAAGCUCUUUUGUCCGGGAAGAUAAUGACUGUACCGGAAGAAUAAGCCCCGGCUAACUUCGUGCCAGCAGCCGCGGUAAUACGAAGGGGGCUAGCGUUGCUCGGAAUCACUGGGCGUAAAGGGCGCGUAGGCGGACUUUUAAGUCGGGGGUGAAAGCCCAGGGCUCAACCCUGGAAUUGCCUUCGAUACUGGGAGUCUUGAGUUCGGAAGAGGUUGGUGGAACUGCGGGUGUAGAGGUGAAAUUCGUAGAUAUUCGCAAGAACACCGGUGGCGAAGGCGGCCAACUGGUCAGAAACUGACGCUGAGGCGCGAAAGCGUGGGGAGCAAACAGG